CUCAUGAAUAUAAGGAAUGUCAAUGCAGUCGACAGGGGAUGUGAUUACUGACAGCGAGCUAAUAACGUGUUCACGGACAUUACUGACACCACAAAGAGUUCAUAAAGAUGUCCAAGCGAUGGUCAGAUGAUGGGGUAACUUGGACAUAGGUAGCCCGGAAUCCGGCCAGGGCGGGGGUCACCAUGACAACAGAGGACCUUCUACAGCCCAACCAGGUGGUCAAGGACAGAUGGAAAGUGGUGAGAAAGAUCGGUGGCGGAGGCUUUGGUGAAAUCUACGACGGCAUUGACCAAGUAACCAAAGAGAAUGUUGCCCUCAAAUUGGAAUCCGCAAAACAGGCCAAGCAAGUGCUCAAGAUGGAAGUGGCUGUCCUUAAGAAGUUACAGGGACAUGACCAUGUGUGCCGGUUUAUCGGAUGUGGCCGAAAUGAGCGGUACAACUAUGUGGUGAUGACCCUGCAGGGGAAAAACCUGGCAGAGUUGCGACGAAGUCAACCACGAGGCUGCUUCACGCUCAGUACAACACUCCGCCUAGGCGCCCAAAUACUCAAGGCCAUUGAAGCAAUUCACGAGGUCGGCUUCCUCCACAGGGACAUCAAACCUUCUAACUUUGCUAUGGGGAGACUACAGAAGGACAGUAAAAAGGUGUUCAUGCUGGAUUUCGGCCUGGCACGUCAGUACACCACCCCAGCUGGAGAUGUACGCCCACCAAGGGCGGCGGCUGGCUUCAGGGGCACAGUGCGUUACGCUUCAGUCAACGCCCACAAAAACAAGGAAAUGGGUCGCCAUGACGACCUGUGGUCCCUGUUCUACAUGCUGGUAGAGUUUCUGGCGGGCCAGUUGCCGUGGCGUAAGAUCAAGGACAAGGAGCAGGUGGGCAACAUGAAGGAAAAGUACGACCACACACUGCUGCUGAAAAACAUGCCGAAUGAGUUCCGUCUGUUCCUCGAUCACAUUCUCAGCCUGGACUACUUUGACAAGCCCGACUACUGCCUGUUACACAACUUGUUUCAGCAGUGUAUAAAGCGUAAGGGCAUCAAGGAACCAGAUCCGUAUGACUGGGAAAAAAUCUACGCUGACGGGUCUGUUGCCACGACAACCACAACUUCGCCUCCGAUAGGGAUCAAGGCCACACCAGGAGCGGGAGUGUUACCGGGUGGGCCUCAUACUGCAGGGCAUGGAGCCACAGAGGCUAUGGACGUCAACCUCAGUUACAACCAAGAGGAGGGUGACCAGGAGGAACGCAAGCUCAAGGAAGCACAGUACAUACUUGAAAACAAGAACCUACAUGACAUAGACAAUCGGCUGCGGGAGGAAGUGGGUGACAUUGUGUUGGUGCCUCGUAAACAAAAUGUGAACCAUAUGGAGACAGAGGAGAAACACCAGAUGGAACAACUGGUUCAGGAGGAUAAUGUGGCUCCACAAGUGUAUUCCAUUGUCCCGGACGAGAGAGGAAACACAGGUGAUGCCCCACCACAGGAUCAACAAGAUGCACCCAAAACAUCUGGCCUCGAUGUGCUGGCAGACCAGUUGACUCGCAUCCUCAAACAGGACGGGGACAAAAUGGAGGGUCGGCCGGUGCCACGAGAGCAGACUCAUGACCAAGUUGGCUCAGCCAUGAGAUUUUCCGAGGAAAUCCUGCCAGACAUGCGUGAACGAGACCAGCAUUCUGGUGGGGAGCGACGCCAAAGUAAAGGACGAUACCAUGAAAAUCAGUUGUUUAAGGAGAUAAUAGACCGCAAAGUACACUCCGCUGUAGCGUCCAACAGAAAGAAUAGUCUUGUCUGUGAUGAGGACAUCUCAAAUAAUCCUGACUACCAGCCAGACCCCCUCGUCAGCAGGGCUGCUAUCACAUUCGCUCUCAUGCAGACGGAGGAGAAAACACACACAGCAGCCGACGAGAACAUUGAUGAGAACGCCACUAGAGCAGCUCCAUUUACGGUAGCCAGUCAAUGGGGCGCCGUGUCCGCCUUCGGGUCAGACUCCAACAAUAGUGAUGCUGAUGACGAGAGUGAAGGUGAGGAAGGCAAUGACAUGAAAUUGAAAACCUCACAUAGAACGCGGCGAGGGUUAAUGAACACGCUAGCUGACGAAGACGAUCUUCGACUGGACAGUAUUGUUAGGAAUUCGCUUGUGUUACAUGACGCAGACCGUGAAUCGCAUGAAAUUCUUCGUAAUUCACUCGUGUUUCUCGACGAUGAUGCAGAUCGUGAUCAAAACAAAGAGAAAAGUGACUCAGGAUUUCAUUUUAGAAAUUUAUCAGAUCGAAAACAUUCCAGUAAUAGUUUACAAUUCCUUAAUGUACAAGGAUCUGAGCGGACACCCGAGAGCCCUUUAGAAAAAUCCCAGUCUGUAGAUAGUAUCCAUAGUAAGUUAUCUAGUCCUAGUAGAAUGCCUGAAAAACUGGCCAAAGAGAUAGGCAAUCUUAUAUCGUCUCCACUAAGUAGCCCUUCAAAACAUUUAUUUAAAGGAAAAGACAGUUUGACUGAUAUUAAAAAGCUAGCUUCGUUAAGUCAUUUGAAGCCGUUGGGUAAGCCUCCCGCUCCUCACUAUGUUUCAGCUCGCAACCAUAACACAGAUAAAAGUGCUAUAUCCGACUCCAACAAGAGACCUAUGCUCUACCCUAGUACUGUCAAAACACAAAGUGAUUCAUCUAAACACUCCGAUAAUAAAACCAUCAGUGUUGACGAGGUUAAGUCAAAAAAGAUUAAAGUAGUAAAUAACCAUGAUAAAGGGGGCGUUCCGGAGAGACGUGAAGUUGUAAAUCCAGAACGACGCGCUUCAGAUGGUGGCCGAACUGGGAAAAGUACGAAAAUGUCUACCAUUCCUGAGGAUCAGAACAGCGAAAACAAAUCUGGAGGACCUAAGUCAAGUAAAAGUGCUGAUCAGAUCCAUACCACAAAAUCUACGGCCAGUGAUAACAGUACGCUAUGCAAGGACGACAAAGUGCCAAGUCAGCAGGAAAUCAAGUCUAGUAAAAAAGAAACCACCUCACAGAAAAAGGAACUCAAAAAAGAAACCAGUUUGCACAAAAAAGAUUGUAGCUCACAGAAAAAAGAAUCUAGUCUUCUCAAAAAAGAUCCCAUCUCUAAACGCCAGCAGAAGCGAAGGUCUUCGUCAGCGUCUCGUGUGUCGGAGCGCACCACCUUGGAACUUAGGGAAGCUCUGUCAUCGUUGACCCCUGACCCCCAUGAGAACCCAGAGUCAGACAGCUCCCGGGUACCUAAACCCCCACCAGGACAACCUCCAAAAAACGCAGUCACAUAUGCAAGGCGUCGUCGUUACAAAAUGGCUUCCACAAACACAAGUCCUCGUGAGCCGUCAUCCCCACGCGCCCAGUAACCCCGCCCACCUGCCUGUCGCCCGCCUACUGUCCUCGUGUUGUCUUAUGUAGCCUCUAUAUCUCUGCCAUUUAUCUUGCCACUGGUUAAGCAGACCUUAAAUAGUACUACAGCGCCUUUUGUGUAAUCAAAAAGGGACAGUGUGUGCGGGGGAUGGGAGGGGGUCGGGGAGUAGGGGUAUCAUACAGGAUGUAUAUCUGUUUGGAUAUGUACGACUUAUAUCAGGGAUAGGAGUCCCCAGUAAGGUAGCAUGUUGAAUCCAUUUUCUAUUCAUUAGGUUUGAAAGUUCAUGAACUAAGGGAGUGAGGGAGGGGGAGUGGGUAAGGGACAGUAGGCGGGACUUGACGAACUUGAAGUGCGGACUCGGGGGUUGGAGACCAGGGACCCAUAUAAGAUCUUUAGAUCAAGAAGAUCUCAGCACAGAAGUCACAGAGCCCCAGGGAGCCACAUUGAGUUACCAUGGUGAUGACGAAGAUUCUGG
rnacentral:misc_RNA from 1 species